AAGUCGUAACAAGGUUUCCGUAGGUGAACCUGCGGAGGGAUCAUUAACACGUAUCCUACGUAUAUACCAACCGUGAACUUGUUCUUUGCUUUAACUAGAGUAUCAGAGUUUUGGUGAAGCUUGGCGUGAUAAAGGUGGGCAACCACUUGCCGGUUUCAUCCUCUGGGCGCAAGCUCGGGACUCGCUAGUUAGGGCGUACCUGUUUCCUUAUCACGAAACAAUUGAUUUAUUUCAAUUUAUUAACCAUUUGUACUUCUUUUGUACUAAAACCAUGCAACUUUUUCACGCUUUCGAGUGUGAACUGUUGUAUAUUACGAAACGUAAAACAACUCUUAGCAACGGAUAUCUUGGUUCUG
rnacentral:misc_RNA from 1 species